rnacentral:rRNA from 1 species
UAGGGAAUCUUCCACAAUGGACGAAAGUCUGAUGGAGCAACGCCGCAUGAGUGAAGAAGGGUUUCGGCUCGUAAAACUCUGUUGUUAAAGAAGAACGUAUCUGAGAGUAACUGUUCAGGUAUUGACGGUAUUUAACCAGAAAGCCACGGCUAACUACGUGCUAG